AGUGAACGCUGGCGGUAGGCCUAACACAUGCAAGUCGAACGGCAGCACAGGAGAGCUUGCUCUCUGGGUGGCGAGUGGUGGACGGGUGAGGAAUACAUCGGAAUCUACUCUGUCGUGGGGGAUAACGUAGGGAAACUUACGCUAAUACCGCAUACGACCUACGGGUGAAAGCAGGGGACCUUCGGGCCUUGCGCGAUUGAAUGAGCCGAUGUCGGAUUAGCUAGUUGGCGGGGUAAAGGCCCACCAAGGCGACGAGCCGUAGCUGGUCUGAGAGGAUGAUCAGCCACACUGGAACUGAGACACGGUCCAGACUCCUACGGGAGGCAGCAGUGGGGAAUAUUGGACAAUGGGCGCAAGCCUGAUCCAGCCAUACCGCGUGGGUGAAGAAGGCCUUCGGGUUGUAAAGCCCUUUUGUUGGGAAAGAAAUCCAGCUGGCUAAUACCCGGUUGGGAUGACGGUACCCAAAGAAUAAGCACCGGCUAACUUCGUGCCAGCCGCCGCAGUAA
rnacentral:rRNA from 1 species